rnacentral:tRNA from 1 species
GCCGGGAUAGCUCAGUUGGUAGAGCAACGGUUUUGUAAACCGUGGGUCGGGGGUUCAAUUCCUCUUCCCGGCUCCA